rnacentral:lncRNA from 1 species
AUGUCCACUCUCACCACUCCUAUUCAACACAGUACUGGAAAUCCUGGCCAGAGUAAUCAGUCAGGAGAAAUAAAAGCAAUCCAAAUAGGAAAAAGGGAAGUCAAAUUAUCUCUGUUCACCAAAGACAUGAUCCUCCAUCUAGAAACCUCUAAAGAUUCCUCCAAAAUACUCCUAGACUUGAAAAACAAGUUCAGUAAAGUUUCAGGUUACAACAUGAGCAUACAAAAAUCAGUAGCAUUUCUAUACACUAAAAAUGCUCAAGCUGACAGCCAAGUCAAGAACUUAAUCCCAUUUAAAAUAGCCACACACACACACACACACACACACACAAAUAAACUAAACACCUAGGAAUAUAUUUAACCAAGGAGGUGAAAGAUCUCUACUGGGAGAACUACAAAACACUGAUGAAAGAAAUAAUAGACAACACAAACAAAUGGGAAAACAUUCCAUGCUUGUGGACUGGAAGAAUCAAUAUUGUUAA